CAAGACCUUGCGCUGAUUGAGCGGCCGAUAUCAGAUUAGCUAGUUGGUGAGGUAAAGGCUCACCAAGGCGACGAUCUGUAGCGGGUCUGAGAGGAUGAUCCGCCACACUGGAACUGAGACACGGUCCAGACUCCUACGGGAGGCAGCAGUGGGGAAUUUUGGACAAUGGGCGCAAGCCUGAUCCAGCCAUGCCGCGUGAGUGAAGAAGGCCUUCGGGUUGUAAAGCUCUUUCGGCCGGGAAGAAAUCGUAUGGGUUAAUACCCUGUGCGGAUGACGGUACCGGCAUAAGAAGCACCGGCUAACUACGUGCCAGCAGCCGCGGUAAUACGUAGGGUGCGAGCGUUAAUCGGAAUUACUGGGCGUAAAGCGUGCGCAGGCGGUUUGUAAGACAGGCGUGAAAUCCCCGGGCUCAACCUGGGAACU
rnacentral:rRNA from 1 species